UACGUAGGGUGCAAGCGUUGUCCCGGAAUUAUUGGGCGUAAAGGGCUCGUAGGCGGUCCAUCGCGUCGGGAGUGAAAACCUGGGGCUCAACUCUGGGCGUGCGGUCGAUACGGGCAUCACUUGAGUUCGGCAGGGAGACUGGAAUUCCUGGUGUAGCGGUGAAAUGCGCAGAUAUCAGGAGGAACACCGGUGGCGAAGGCGGGUCUCUGGGCCGAUACUGACGCUGAGGAGCGAAAGCAUGGGUAGCGAACAGG
rnacentral:rRNA from 1 species